rnacentral:rRNA from 1 species
UACGUAGGGUGCAAGCGUUAAGCGGAAUUACUGGGCGUAAAGCGUGCGCAGGCGGUUAUGUAAGACAGAUGGGAAAUGCCCGGGCUUAACCUGGGAACUGCAUUUGUGACUGCAUGGCUAGAGUUUGGCAGAGGGGGGUAGAAUUCCACGUGUAGCAGUGAAAUGCGUAGAUAUGUGGAGGAACACCGAUGGCGAAGGCAGCCCCCUGGGUCAAGACUGACGCUCAUGCACGAAAGCGUGGGGAGCAAACAGG